GUGAGUUUUACAUGUUGUUUUCUGGAUUUUGUUGGAUUCUUUUUACCUAGUGUUGAACUUUGUCUGGCAUGCAGUUUAGUUACUUGAAAUUUGAUCUUUGUUGUUUGAUCUUUCAGUGCUUAGUGUUAAGUUUCUUUAAGGAGAGACUCGAGCAUCCUUUACCCUGGCUAAUUUAACCUGAGUCCUAAAGUUGCUGUCCUUCUAGGGACUCUUUCUAGUGCUCUGUACACCACAAGGUCUUCUCACUUUGCUAGUGAGAGCUUAAACUGUCCCCAGUGCGGUUGAACUACUGGGUUUUUGGGCUCCUGCUUUCUAGGUUCUUUGUCUAGCCUCAGGUAUCUUCCUCUCAUACCGGCAAUGAUUAUUACCUAGCCAGAGACUUGAGAGAACUCUUCUUCAGAUCUCCAGAACUCUCUCCCAUUCUGUAGCUCUCCCCUCAGUGAUACUCUGCCUUCCAAAUUCUAGUUGCCUUGGCUUCGCUGACUUUCAAUUUCUGUUUCCUCAACUCAGCAGAGCUGUCUCUGUCUGGAUACCCCCCUCUGCAUUGUGAUGACUGCCUCCAGACAGUAAACUGGCCAAUUGUGGGGCUCACCUCCUUUGUUUCCCUUUUCUCCAGGAGACAAACCCCUGGUGCUUUCUGUUAGUCAGUGCCUGAAACAUCCUUUCAUAUAUUUUGUCUAAUUUCCUAAAUGUUUAAGAAGAGACGGGAAAACUGCUCCAUCAUUUCUGAAGCAGACAUUCUCCGAGAAUUACAUUUGAAAAUACUGCUAGAUUUCGUGCUAGAUCCCCAUAACCAAGGCCUCUGUGAGCUUGAUGCUUUGCUUUUGUGUCAGAAAAGGAGCUGUGGCUGCGAAGAUGGCCAGGAGUGCAGACGAUGCCUUAGUGCCAAGAAAAAGAUGUCCCCUUCCUCCUCACUGAUGCUGCCCUGCUCCAGGGAGCACAGCUAAGAGAGGGUGGCCCUGGUGCCUCGCCCAGGUCCUUGGUGUAACUGGAUGUGGAAGCCUCACCCUCAGCUUUCAGCUUUCAGCUUUGUGGAUUUAGAAAAUUUGCUGAGGGACAUUUCUUAAGGUGAUAUCUUCAAAAAAAUUCGAACACUUAAAAAAAUUAUAAAACACUAAAAAUAAAUCAUAAAACACCAUAAACGUAUGUUUUGGU
rnacentral:lncRNA from 1 species